rnacentral:lncRNA from 1 species
CGGCGGACUACCAACAAGGAGACAGCACCACCUAGUAAAUGCGACUGGCAGCGAGCUGGAAGACAGACGAGAGACAUAUUUAACCGUUCGUUUUUAGAUUUUUCUCGCUGAUAUUUCGCAUGAAGCAGUUUCCCUCUUGUUUCAGCCACAGAGACCGCGGUGAUGGAAGACGAGGAGAGGCAAAAGAAGCUGGAGGCCGGCAAAGCAAAGUUGGCUGAGUACCGCCAGAGAAAAGCUCACGCUGACUCCCAGAAGAAACUGAAAAAGAAGAAGAAAAAGAAGCCGGGAGAAGACUCUGAGGGGGAUUCGCAGGGAAGGGUGGAGGUCGAGCCGGACCAGUCUGUGGGAGGAGAGGAGGUCUCAGGCCGAGAAAGAGAUGGCUCACAAGAAGGAAAUAAAGACCCAUCGACCACAGAGUUCACCUACGCCAGGACGCUGCGGAGUGGAGAGACUGUCAAGCAUGACCAGACCUACACCAUAGAGCCGGAAAGUGAAGUGUCCACUACUGCUGAAGAUUAUUCCACAGAGGAGGAGGGGGAGCCCCUGCAACAGGUGACAAAGGGAGGUACGAUGGAGGAUGCACUCGCCGCCAAGACCCAGGCAGUGGAGGAGCUGAGUCGAGAGCUUGAAGAAAUCAGGGCUGCCUUUGGCACAGAGGGAGUGCAGCAGCUGCAGGACUUUGAGGCUGCUCUGAAGCAGCGAGAUUGCAUCAUCACCCAGCUCACAGCUAACCUUCAGCAGGCUCGUGAAGAGAAAGACGAGAUCAUGAAAGAAUUCCUGGAACUGACAGAGCAAAGCCAAAAACUACAUAUUCAGUUCCAGCAGCUGCAGGCGGGUGAGACGCUGAGGAACACCAGCCACAGCAGCACAGCAGCUGAUCUUCUGCAGGCCAGGCAGCAGCUCAUGCAGUACCAACCGCAGCUGGAGGAGCUCCAGCACAAGCUCAGUGAGAUGGAGAUGGUAAGAAAAGAAUCAUUCACACAAAGGAUAAACGAAAAGGACCUGCUAAUUGCAGAACAAGAAAAAGUUAUUUUGAGU